ensembl:lncRNA
CUCACCCCAUCUUGUCCCUGCACCAGCUGGCUUAGGGCUCCCCAGCAUUGCUGGCUGUCGCUGCCUUCUGUCGCUCCCAGUCAGCAUGGCUCUGUUCUUUGCUUUUUGGGUUCCAGAGUGUUUGCUACAGGUUAUGGAGUGUUUCUCUUCUCUCUCUUCUUGUCCUCCAUGUUGCCUGUUGGCGCCUCGGUGGAGUUUCAGUGACCCAAAUGCAGACUGCUCUGCGUUGCCCAAGCGUGAUGCCAAGAGAAGAGGUAGGCACCAGAACAGGCUGCUGGAUAGGAGACUCUGCCGUCAGAUGGCGUUGCCUGUUCUUCUCUCCCCAGUUUGCAGAGUUGGAUGUGACCUCAGCACUGGAUAAGGGGUAAGUGAUUCCUCCAUCCUGACCAGAAGGUAAUCUCUACUUGUCUUGUGCUGUGUGGAACAGGUUGCAGUGGAGAAGUGCAGUUGUCCGGGGCGCUGCAAGGACUCUAUUGAGGCAUUUGGUGGACGCCGCAGGAACCCACAGCCAGAGGUGGAUGCCAAGAUGCACAUCUUCCUCUGUCUGGCAAGCUCUGCUGACCCCUGAGGUUUUUCCCACGCUUGCAGAGGUUGUAUGGGUUUGGUGUUGGUUGUGGCUUGUGCUCACCUUGCUGUCACCGGGUGUUCUUCCUUUGCCCAUCAUAGGGCUCCCCAGUUCUGGUGGGAUCUCCGUGCCUUCUGCUGAUCCCAGAGAACAUGGGUUCGUUUUCUUAUAUCCAGGUUCACUAUGUUUUCUUGCUGUUAUGUGAUGUUUGCCUUAGUUUUUUUAUUUUUUAUUUUUUUUCCGGGCUGCUUAUUGAUCCAUCCUGGGUCUGCAAUAAACCAAAUGAUUUCUGGUAAGGUUUGAGCAAGUGAGAUGGAAAAUCAAGUGGUAAACUCCAAAACAGGCUUGCAUAUUGGAGACUUAUCCACCACAUGGUGAUGCCUUCCCUGGCCUCCUUGAUUGCAGUGUGGGAUGUGCCCUGAUCCUUGGAAAGGGGUGAGUGAUUCCUUCAUCCUUACUAGAAGGUAAUCUCUACUUACCUUUUCUUGUGUCCAUCAGGUGGCACUGGAGAGUUGUGACCCUGCUGAGCAGUGCAAGGACUCUACUGAGGCUCUUGGUGGACACAGCAAGAACCCACACCCAUAGGAGCUCCCUUUGGCCUCCAUGUCUCGCUCUGGCCAGGCAGAUGUGGUGUGCCAAUGGAUCAGAGCCUUCAGAAUCCAACCAAAAGAAAUGAGGAGAGAGGCUGCCCUGGUGCUUGCCAAGUCCAAGUAUUCCCUGAUGGAGUCCAACUCCAGCUCGACCAUCACUCACCCGGUCUGUCCCCACACCAGCUGGCUUAGGGCUCUCCAGUACUGCUG